rnacentral:rRNA from 1 species
AUGCCUGUUCGAGCGUCAUUUCACCACUCAAGCCUCGCUUGGUAUUGGGCAACGCGGUCCGCCGCGUGCCUCAAAUCGUCCGGCUGGGUCUUCUGUCCCCUAAGCGUUGUGGAAACUAUUCGCUAA